rnacentral:snoRNA from 1 species
AUGCCAUGAUGUGGACACUAACCAACAUACCUUUAAACCUCUCCCACGUUUCUUAUAGUGUUUCAGCUGAUUUUUGCCUGAAGCUCAAUAUCUCAUAAACUUGUUU